AUUGAACGCUGGCGGCAGGCUUAACACAUGCAAGUCGAGCGAGUGGCGGACGGGUGAGUAAUGUCUGGGAAACUGCCCGAUGGCGGGGGAUAACUACUGGAAAAGGUAGCUAAUACCGCAUACCAUCAGCAGUGCCCAGAUGGGAUUAGCUAGGAGGUGGGGUAAUGGCUCACCAAGGCGACGAUCCAUAGCUGGUCUGAGAGGAUGACCAGCCACACUGGAACUGAGACACGGUCCAGAAUCCUACGGGAGGCAGCAGUGGGGAAUAUUGCACAAUGGGGGAAAGCCUGAGGCAGCCAGCCCGCGUGUGUGACGAAGGCCUUCGGGUUGUAAAGCACUUUCAGCGAGGAGGCGUUACUCGCAGAAGAAGCACCGGCUAACUCCGUGCCAGCCGCCGCGGUAAUUC
rnacentral:rRNA from 1 species